UACGGAGGGGGCUAGCGUUGUUCGGAUUUACUGGGCGUAAAGAGCGCGCAGGCGGUCGUCCAAGUCGCGUGUGAAAGCCCCCGGCUCAACUGGGGAGGGUCACGCGAUACUGGUCGACUCGAAGGCAGGAGAGGGUAGUGGAAUUCCCGGUGUAGUGGUGAAAUGCGUAGAUAUCGGGAGGAACACCAGUGGCGAAGGCGACUACCUGGCCUGUUCUUGACGCUGAGGCGCGAAAGCUAGGGGAGCAAACGGG
rnacentral:rRNA from 1 species